rnacentral:tRNA from 1 species
ANAAGGCCUUCCUUCUCACUGUCAAAGAACGAACUAACGCACUCAGUCUUCCGAGUGGGCAGUGAUCAAUAGCACUUUAACUUUUACUUCCUACAUCCCUAAAGCGUUAUUCAGCACUGCACACUACAUCCUAAAUCCCUUCUCUACCGCUUCCCCAGCGACCAGCCCGCGCUCUUUGCGGGCCUUCCAUCCCUGUGGUGGAGCUGACCGGUCUCGAACCGGUGACCCCCUGCUUGCAAAGCAGGUGCUCUCCCAACUGAGCUACAGCCCCAUUUGGUGGGCCCAAGUGGACUCGAACCACUGACCUCACGAUUAUCAGUCGUGUGCUCUAGCCAGCUGAGCUAUAGGCCCAAUUCCUUACNNGGUNGGCGUGA